UACAGAGGGGGCGAGCGUUGUUCGGAAUUACUGGGCGUAAAGGGCGCGUAGGCGGCCCGCUAAGUCGAACGUGAAAUCCCCAGGCUUAACCUGGGAACUGCGUCCGAUACUGGCAGGCUUGAAUCCGGGAGAGGGAUGUGGGAAUUCCAGGUGUAGCGGUGAAAUGCGUAGAUAUCUGGAGGAACACCGGUGGCGAAGGCGGCAUCCUGGACCGGUAUUGACGCUGAGGCGGCGGAAAGCUAGGGGAGCAAACGGGG
rnacentral:rRNA from 1 species